rnacentral:rRNA from 1 species
AUUGAACGCUGGCGGCAGGCCUAACACAUGCAAGUCGAACGAGUGGCGGACGGGUGAGUAAUGUCUGGGAAACUGCCCGAUGGAGGGGGAUAACUACUGGAAACGGUAGCUAAUACCGCAUACCAUCGGAUGUGCCCAGAUUGGAUUAGCUAGUAGGUGGGGUAACGGCUCACCUAGGCGACGAUCCCUAGCUGGUCUGAGAGGAUGACCAGCCACACUGGAACUGAGACACGGGCCAGACUCCUAAGGGAGGCAGCAGUGGGGAAUCUUGGACAAUGGGCGCAAGCCUGAGGCAGCGAUGCCGCGUGUAUGAAGAAGGUCUUCGGGUUGUAAAGUACUUUCAGCGAGGAGGCGUUACUCGCAGAAGAAGCACCGGCUAACUCCGUGCCAGCCGCCGCGGUAAUAC